GGAGUUGUGGCUCAACGGUAGAGCGCUGGCCUUGCACGUGUGAGGCACUGGGUUCAAUCCUCAGCACCA
rnacentral:tRNA from 1 species